GACGAACGCUGGCGGCGUGCUUAACACAUGCAAGUCGAACGGAAAGGCCCUGCUUUUGUGGGGUGCUCGAGUGGCGAACGGGUGAGUAACACGUGAGUAACCUGCCCUUGACUUUGGGAUAACUUCAGGAAACUGGGGCUAAUACCGGAUAGGAGCUCCUGCUGCAUGGUGGGGGUUGGAAAGUUUCGGCGGUUGGGGAUGGACUCGCGGCUUAUCAGCUUGUUGGUGGGGUAGUGGCUUACCAAGGCUUUGACGGGUAGCCGGCCUGAGAGGGUGACCGGCCACAUUGGGACUGAGAUACGGCCCAGACUCCUACGGGAGGCAGCAGUGGGGAAUAUUGCACAAUGGGCGGAAGCCUGAUGCAGCAACGCCGCGUGCGGGAUGACGGCCUUCGGGUUGUAAACCGCUUUCGCCUGUGACGAAGCGUGAGUGACGGUAAUGGGUAAAGAAGCACCGGCUAACUACGUGCCAGCAGCCGCGGUGAUACGUAGGGUGCGAGCGUUGUCCAGAUUUAUUGGGCGUAAAGGGCUCGUAGGUGGUUGAUCGCGUCGGAAGUGUAAUCUUGGGGCUUAACCCUGAGCGUGCUUUCGAUACGGGUUGACUUGAGGAAGGUAGGGGAGAAUGGAAUUCCUGGUGGAGCGGUGGAAUGCGCAGAUAUCAGGAGGAACACCAGUGGCGAAGGCGGUUCUCUGGGCCUUUCCUGACGCUGAGGAGCGAAAGCGUGGGGAGCGAACAGGCUUAGAUACCCUGGUAGUCCACGCUGUAAACGGUGGGUACUAGGUGUGGGGUCCAUUCCACGGGUUCCGUGCCGUAGCUAACGCUUUAAGUACCCCGCCUGGGGAGUACGGCCGCAAGGCUAAAACUCAAAGGAAUUGACGGGGCCCCGCACAAGCGGCGGAGCAUGCGGAUUAAUUCGAUGCAACGCGUAGAACCUUACCUGGGUUUGACAUGGAUCGGGAGUGCUCAGAGAUGGGUGUGCCUCUUUUGGGGUCGGUUCACAGGUGGUGCAUGCCUGUCGUCAGCUCGUGUCGUGAGAUGUUGGGUUAAGUCCCGCAACGAGCGCAACCCUUGUUCACUGUUGCCAGCACGUUAUGGUGGGGACUCAGUGGAGACCGCCGGGGUCAACUCGGAGGAAGGUGGGGAUGACGUCAAGUCAUCAUGCCCCUUAUGUCCAGGGCUUCACGCAUGCUACAAUGGCUGGUACAGAGAGUGGCGAGCCUGUGAGGGUGAGCGAAUCUCGGAAAGCCGGUCUCAGUUCGGAUUGGGGUCUGCAACUCGACCUCAUGAAGUCGGAGUCGCUAGUAAUCGCAGAUCAGCAACGCUGCGGUGAAUACGUUCCCGGGGCU
rnacentral:rRNA from 1 species